rnacentral:lncRNA from 1 species
UCAGGGCUCUCUCUCCCCACAUAUCUCAGAAAAAGAGAAUGAAAUCAAAAGAAAAAAAAAUUGAAAAGAAAAAAAUGAUCAAUUUAUGUUGGUUUUUCCGUCUUGUCUUUGUUUUUCAUUGAUUUUUCCUAUGUUUUCCCCCAUUUUUCCUCUGAUUUUUUAUCCUUAGGAGUCUUGAUCGGGUGGGAGGCUUGGAGUGGCCGAAUAAGAAAGCUUAGACGAUGGCUAGGGUUCUAAAAUGGGGCCGCCGUCGCCAUUGC